CACACUCAUUUCUCACAAACCUCUCUCUCUCUCUCUCUCUCUCUCUCUCUCUCUCUCUCUCUCUCUCUCUCUCUCUCUCUCUCUCUCUCUCUCUCUCUCUUCACUUAUUCCUCUUCACCGCCACACCCUCGCCUCUAGCAAAGCAAAACAGAGACACCACCGCCUCCGUCAGUGAAGCACGGUCUCUCGCGUCGGAUCUCUGACCCGUGGUUUGAUCAUCCAUCCUCCUUUCCAACCUCAACCCCGCAUGCCUCCGGUCUCAGCCCGACGAAGACGAAGAUGGAGACAAAGGCAGAGAAAUACCAUCCUCCAUCUGAAUGAGAAAUAGAGGGGAAGGAGAAUAUUACUCCGAUUGGCUCAAAGAUCACAAUAAUUUCAACUUCGUGCCUUGUUUUUUAUGUAUUUGUUUAUCAUAACCAAUGUUUCAUUUGUUUGCUUAGGAAAGCCUAAUGGGUUUUUUAUUACUCUGCUUGAUUGAAGUGUUUGGUAGAGUUAAAAAUUUCCUGAAAUGUUUAAUUUUAAAUUGCUCUCACUGCCUUGUAUCAGGAUCACAUGCGACAAGCUGGCGAUGAUUAUAGUCA